rnacentral:rRNA from 1 species
UACGUAGGGUGCAAGCGUUGUCCGGAAUUAUUGGGCGUAAAGAGCUCGUAGGCGGUUCGUCACGUCGGCUGUGAAAUCCCGAGGCUCAACCUCGGGUCUGCAGUCGAUACGGGCGGACUUGAGUACUGCAGGGGAGACUGGAAUUCCUGGUGUAGCGGUGAAAUGCGCAGAUAUCAGGAGGAAGACCGGUGGCGAAGGCGGGUCUCUGGGCAGUAACUGACGCUGAGGAGCGAAAGCGUGGGGAGCGAACAGG